rnacentral:rRNA from 1 species
GACGAACGCUGGCGGCGUGCUUAACACAUGCAAGUCGAACGGAAAGGUCCUGCUUUUGUGGGGUGCUCGAGUGGCGAACGGGUGAGUAACACGUGAGUAACCUGCCCUUGACUUUGGGAUAACUUCAGGAAACUGGGGCUAAUACCGGAUAGGAGCUCCCGCUGCAUGGUGGGGGUUGGAAAGUUUCGGCGGUUGGGGAUGGACUCGCGGCUUAUCAGCUUGUUGGUGGGGUAGUGGCUUACCAAGGCUUUGACGGGUAGCCGGCCUGAGAGGGUGACCGGCCACAUUGGGACUGAGAUACGGCCCAGACUCCUACGGGAGGCAGCAGUGGGGAAUAUUGCACAAUGGGCGGAAGCCUGAUGCAGCAACGCCGCGUGCGGGAUGACGGCCUUCGGGUUGUAAACCGCUUUCGCCUGUGACGAAGCGUGAGUGACGGUAAUGGGUAAAGAAGCACCGGCUAACUACGUG